UGUUCUAGCCCAUCUGUUGAUUCUGGAUCAUUGGUUUCAGCUGGAAUGAAGCAUCCCUCCCAGCUCUUAUGGGGAAGAUACUCCAUUUUGCACUCUUAAUAUCACCAUAUAAGCUGGCGCUGUAGCCCAACCAAACCAGGCAAUGCUUCCAGGAGCCAAGUGGACUGGGAGGAGAUUCAGAGUCACAUGGUUCGCAUGCAAAGGGUAACUCAUUCCUUGAAGGAAGAAGUCUUUGACCUAAUGGGAAAAUUUGCUUCAAACAGCUUGGGAAGUUGGGGUUCAUUUGAAAGCUACAGCAAAUGCCUCACAGUGACUGUAGUGGUUCAGAGCCUGUCUGCAGUCAAGGUGCCUGGGGUCAAAUGCCACCUGCUGCCACUUAGCGCUGUGACUGAGCAAGUUACCCCACGUUUCAUACAGGCCUCGGUCUCCUCAAUGGUAAAAUGUGGAAGAUAAUGAUAUCAGAGGGCUGCAUUCCAGAGGGCCACGUAUGCUUCAAAACUCACAUAUUUCAAAAUCAAUUUUCUCAUAAGACUGACAGAAGAGAGGAGGAGGAUUUCUGACUGUGAUACUGUGAUUUAUAAUAAGAAAUACACAUGUGGUCUUCAUCCCA